GACAACUUGUGCUUCAAAUGCAAGCCAGAAAGAAGCACUUCCCAUGCUGAACUCCCGCACCCUGUGGCACUGUCUGUGGUGAGAACGUCAUUCACUUAAGGUGCUGACUUGAGAUCCUGUGUCCUCCGCACGUGACCUCCUGAACCCUUUGAGCUGUCCAUGGUGAGAACGUGGUCCCUCUAAGGUGCUGACGUGAGUCCCUGCAUCCUCCACACGUGACCUCCCGCACCCUUUGAGCUGUCCAUGGUGAGAACGUGGUCUCCCUAAGGUGCUGACUUGAGUCCCUGCAUCCUCCACACGUGACUUCCCGCACCCUUUGAGCUGUCCAGGGUGAGAAUGUGGUCUCCCUAAGGUGCUGACGUGAGUCCCUGUGUCCUCCACACGUGACCUCCCGCACCCUUUGAGCUGUCCAGGGUGAGAACAUGGUCUCCCUAAGGUGCUGACGUGAGUCCCUGCAUCCUCCACACGUGACCUCCCACACCCUUUGAGCUGUCCAUGGUGAGAACGUGGUCCCUCUAAGGUGCUGACCUGUGUCCCUGCGACUCCCCAGGUGACCUCCCGCUCCCUUUAGAGCUGUCCAUGGUGAGAACGUGGUCCCCCUAAGGUGCGGAUGUGUAUCCCUGCAUCCUCCCCACAAGAUCUCCCACACCCUUUAGAUCUGCCUAUGGUGAGAACGUGGUUGCUCUAAGGUGCUCAUGUGUGUCCCUGCGUCCCCCUCAUAUGACCUCCUGCAUCCAUCUCCCACAUCAAAUGCUUGCUGCUGGCUAUAGCUUAGCUUAAUCAUCUUAUCCUCCUUGGCCACUUAAUUAUUAAGAGGCCACUGAUGAAAUUUUGUUGAAUGAAUAUAAGGCCACUACUAUAAUCGUGCCAGUUUAUGGAACAAACAGAAGGCUGACAUGAGGAAGAGAGAGCAC
rnacentral:lncRNA from 1 species